CUUUGAUGAUGAAAAACUACUUUUCCAGUUCUGCUUCUGAWUAACACAGGAAGAUAACAAAAGCUUACCAAAAUUUUCUGACAA
rnacentral:snoRNA from 1 species